rnacentral:rRNA from 1 species
CCUACGGGAGGCAGCAGUGGGGAAUAUUGCACAAUGGGGGAAACCCUGAUGCAGCGACGCCGCGUGAGUGAAGAAGUAAUUCGUUAUGUAAAGCUCUAUCAGCAGGGAAGAAACUGACGGUACCUGUGUAAGAAGCCCCGGCUAACUACGUGCCAGCAGCCGCGGUAAUACGUAGGGGGCAAGCGUUAUCCGGAUUUACUGGGUGUAAAGGGAGCGUAGACGGCAGUGCAAGUCUGGAGUGAAAGGCGGGGGCUCAACCCCCGGACUGCUCUGGAAACUGGACGGCUGGAGUGCAGGAGAAGUAAGUGGAAUUCCUAGUGUAGCGGUGAAAUGCGUAGAUAUUAGGAAGAACACCAGUGGCGAAGGCGGCUUACUGGACUGUAACUGACGUUGAGGCUCGAAAGCGUGGGGAGCAAACAGGAUUAGAUACCCGAGUAGUC